rnacentral:rRNA from 1 species
UACGAAGGGGGCUAGCGUUGCUCGGAAUCACUGGCGUAAAGCGCACGUAGGCGGAUUGUUAAGUCAGGGGUGAAAUCCUGGAGCUCAACUCCAGAACUGCCUUUGAUACUGGCGAUCUUGAGUCCGGGAGAGGUGAGUGGAACUGCGAGUGUAGAGGUGAAAUUCGUAGAUAUUCGCAAGAACACCAGUGGCGAAGGCGGCUCACUGGCCCGGUACUGACGCUGAGGUGCGAAAGCGUGGGGAGCAAACAGG